AUUUAUCAUUUGUCAUUAAAGUUUUAAAGAUUUCUCAGUAAGAGGGAAGAAUUAUGGAUUUAAACCUACAUUUACCUACUUCUAAAAAAGAACUAGAAGAGUUAAUGGAAAAGGCGAAGGAUUGGGCACUCAUGCAUGGGAUGUGUAUGAAAUCAAAACAAAACUUUAAUAAAAACGUUUUGCAAUUUGCACCAUUUAUCCUGGUACCUUCUCCAUUUCCUAGAAAAGAAUUUGAAAAUGCUUGUACAAUGCAAACAACAUUAAACAUAUUAAUACAUAGAGUUGCUCAGGAUUACAACUUUUUGAAAGAAACUUUAGAAGAAACAAUAAAGGUUGACAAUUUUACUAAAGAAUUAUUUGACAUUUGCACAACUGUUCAUAAGGAAGGAGGGUCAGCACAAAAAAUAUCUCUUUGUGUACUACGUUCAGAUUUAAUGUUGGAUACAACUUGUCCAAAAGAGGAUAUGAACAAAAAAUGUAUUCCAUACUGUUGUUGGAAACAAGUUGAGAUAAAUACAAUUGCUUCUGGGUUUGGAUGGUUAGGUCCCGUAUCAACAGAAUUACAUAAAUUUGUAUUAGAGGAACUUGGUUGUUAUGAAAAAAUAAAAAAUCUUCCUGAGAACAAUGCAUUACAAAUUAUAUGUUCAAGCAUGAUUGAAGCAUGGAAGAUGUAUGGAAAUCAAGAAGCAGUAAUUUUAUUUGUUGUUGAAGACAUUACAUAUAAUAUAUGCGAUCAACGUUUUCAUGAAUUUGAAAUUAGGAAACAGAAUCCAAAUGUUAAAGUUAUCCGCAGAAAUUUAACACAAUUAGCAGCAUCUGCUAAAUUGGGUCUUAAAAAGGAAUUGAUAGUAGAUGAUUAUAUUGUGUCAGUAGUGUAUUACAGAUGUGGUUAUGAACCCGGACAAUAUCAUACACGAAAAGAAUGGGAUGUAAGAUUAUUAAUAGAAAGAUCUUUAGCAAUUAAAUGUCCUACUAUUCAGUAUCAUUUAGCUGGAACUAAAAAGGUUCAACAGGCUCUUGCAAAGCCAGGUGUUAUUAACAAAUUUCUAGAAAAUGAAAAGAUAUGUGCAGAAAUUAAAGAAAUAUUCACUGGUAAGCCAUUUAUUUUGACAAUACAUACACCAUACUAUAUUAUGAUAUGUUGUGCAGAGCUUUAUGCAUUAGACUUUAAUGAACAUGGAGAUGCUGCUAUAGAAAUGGGAAUUGCGAAUCCUCAUCAUUUUGUGCUGAAACCUCAGAGGGAAGGAGGUUGUAAUAACAAAUAUGGAUUAGAUAUAAAGCAUUUUCUAGAAUCUAUGAAACAUAAACAAGAAAGAGUAGCCUGGAUUCUUAUGAAUAAAAUUCAUCCUCCAAUUCAUAAAAGUUAUAUGAUAAGACCAGAAAGUGAUAUGAGUAUGAAAUUACAAGAAUUAGUUUCUGAAUUAGGAAUAUUUGGAGUUAUAAUUGCUGAUGAAAAUAAUGUGUAUGUUAAUAAGCUAAGUGGUCACAUGUUACGUACAAAGUUAGCUACUGCUAAUGAAGGUGGUGUAGCAACCGGAUUAGGUGCAUGUGACAGUCCAUAUUUAAUCGACUAAAAUAUGUGUUCAAACAAUAUUUGAUGCCAAAUAACAUUUUAUUAUAAACUAAUUAUAUGAUUAGUUCCUGUUUAUUAAAUUUAUAUUUCAUUGUUAUAAUUUUAAUUUUCUUGUUACUUUCUUUUGAUAACAGUUUUUAAGAAUAAAUAUAUUUUUUGGUUUCUGUUAUGUAUGGUAUAUCAAGUUGUAGGAUUAUUAACAAAUAUCUAAGGGAAAAUAUGUGUAUAGUGGUGAUAUGGAAACAGACACUGAGAAUGUAAUAUCUGACAUCAUUACUUCAAAAUUGCCAAAUAUAAUUAAGUAAAUGUUACAGACAAUAUUCAACAAAAAGAUAUUUUUAUAGAAUUUGUUUAAAUGCAUUUAUAUAAUUCUGUACAUCGGACUUGUUAUUUAAUUACCUUAAUGAUCUUCUGCCCCUGCAUUUUUAUACAAAUUACUACAAUUAAUUAUUAAUCAUUUGGAAGUGAUAUAUAACAUUUGCUUUACCAGAUGUCAUACAUGCAGUGGCAAAGUAUCAAGUAGAACAUGAACCGAGAGAAAUCUUUUUUUUUCGAGAAGGUACUGUAGUGAUG
rnacentral:misc_RNA from 1 species